UACGUAGGGGGCAAGCGUUGUCCGGAAUCAUUGGGCGUAAAGAGCUCGUAGGCGGCUCAGUAAGUCGGGUGUGAAACCUCCAGGCUCAACCUGGAGACGCCACCCGAUACUGCUGUGGCUAGAGUCCAGUAGGGGAGUGUGGAAUUCCCGGUGUAGCGGUGAAAUGCGCAGAUAUCGGAAGGAACACCAGCGGCGAAGGCGGCACUCUGGGCUGGUACUGACGCUGAGGAGCGAAAGCGUGGGUAGCAAACAGG
rnacentral:rRNA from 1 species